rfam:Schistosoma rodhaini strain Burundi genome assembly, scaffold: SROB_scaffold0006864
AUCCAACUGACGAGUCCCAAAUAGGACGAAACGCGCGUUCUGGAU